CCUAUUAUGAUGGAAACGAGUUUUGGUGAGCUCCGAUCCCAUUGUGAUGGGUCGGGUGCGAGUAACUAAUUCCUAUUAUGGGGGGAUUAAUGAAGUGUUACCUAUGAUGAUGGUAGCGAUUUGAUGUGCUCCGAUUCCAAGAGGGAAUCUUAUCUUAUGGUGGGGAUUGGGGAGUGAAAUGAACCUGCAUGUUCAUAUUUG
rnacentral:lncRNA from 1 species